AUAAUGCUCAGAGGAAAGUCUAGGUGCUCGUAGAGCCUGAGGCUGAAGGAGGGGGUGCAUGGUUUGCUGACUAUGAUUAGCUGAAAGGAUCCUGACCAGAGCUCAAAAUCAACCACCUUUAAUUCUUAGUGCUUCCCAUGGACAAAUACGGAUUGAGAAGCCCAAUAAUCUGACUCAGAACAACGUUUUGGACCAGCAGUUCAGUGUUCCGUCUGUUACAGUAACACUAUUCUUGCAAAACUUUAAUUGAAAGUAAGUCCAGUUAAUUUUUGCAAACAUA
rnacentral:lncRNA from 1 species